rnacentral:lncRNA from 1 species
UUUUUUUUUUUUUUAAGGGUUGCACUUGCAGCAUAUGGAAGUUCCCAGGCUAGGAGUCGAACUGGAGCUACAGCUGCUGGCCUACACCACAGCUCACGGCAACACCAGAUCUUUAACCCACUGAGCAAGGUCAGAGAUUGAACUGCAUCCUCAUGGAUACUAGUCAGGUUUGUUACCACUGGGAGCCACAACGGGAACACCCUAAUAAAUCUUUUUAAAAGUUAAUGAAGGAAUAUGAGAUCCUUGAAUUCCAAUCAACUACUGUACAUCACUUCAAGCAAACACAUCUUUUACUCAAUUCAAAAUCCAAAUGCAAUAAAAAUUAUCUUCCCAGUUGGGAUAGAAAUAGGUGUCACAAAUUUAGAUACUCUGCUCACAAGCAGCCAUAUGGAGAUAUCUUCAGGACGUGGAGACAGAGGAGGGGAAGGAAAACCAUAUGACUUUCCCCAUCUCACAGCUGGUUGGUAGAGGGGGAAUAACGAGAGCUCCAAGCCUCGGGCUCCCAUUUAGUGACCCUGCUUUUUUUUCAAUUUUAUUUUUGACCAUGCCCACAGCAUACAGGAGUUCCUGGGUCCCGUUUUUUCAACACUGCCACAGACAGGACCUGUUAAUGCAGCAUCAUUCAUAAAAUGAAUCUCACUGUCCUAAUAGGUUUAUUUAUCUAGCUUCCCCUUGAAACCUUGGAAUUUUUGGUAGCUUAUAACCAUAGUUCAUGAAGAGCAGCAGAUUAUAAAAUGGUGGGAGUGGUUUGAGAAGCUAGCACCCUGAAAAGUAAGAUUACAGAGCUAUAAAACAGUGUGUGUGUUCAAACAUUCUGGAAGAAGUUAAGGUCGAUGCAAACAGUUCAACACUUUCCUAAUUCAUCUGGCAAAUACUUAACUGAGCUCCUACUGAAUGUCAGGGAUUGUUGUAGCUGCUAAGGACAUAGCAGUGAACAGAACAGCCAAAGGCACUUCCCGCAAGAUGACGUUCUAGUCAUGGAAAAUAGACAAUAAGUAAAUUUAAAAAUCCAUGUAUUGGGUAGAAAUAAAUGUCUUAAAGAAGGAGGAAGUCAAUAAAGGAAGAGGAUGAAGGAAGCAGGGCAGCUACCAUUUUAGACAGAACCGCUAGAGAAGAUGUUCUAAAGAAGUGACACUUGAACAAGUGACACAGCAAACCAGACAAAGAUUUCUGAGGACAGCAUUCCAGGCAGGUGUAGUAAGGAGCCCAAAGCAAGAGUAUGAUCACUGAGCUUGAGAAAUAGCAAGGAAUGUGACUGGAAGGGCAUAAGAAGCAAGAGAAGAUGGAAUAGAGGACUACCAGGGCCGGGUCAUUCAGGGCAAGGUAAGGACUUGGGAAUUUCUUCUCUUCAUGACAGGAAGGCUACAAGCAGGGGAAGGUAUCAUCCUUUCUGUUUUCAAAGGAUCACCCUGCUGCUGAUAGAGACCAAUUAGAAGACUACCUCAAGGUAACAUAUGAUGGUACCUUGGACAAGGAUAGUAUCAACUGAAAGUGUUGAGAAGUGGUUAGAUUACAGUUGUAUUUUGAAAGUAGAGUCAAAAGGAUCUGCUAACGGAGGACAUGUGGCAUAUGAGUGAAAGAGAAGAGCGAGGACUGACUCCAAAGCUUUGAUCUGAGAAACAGGAGAAAUGGAAAUACCAUUUGGUAACAUCCAGAAUUCUUGGCAAGAAUUAGGCAUUGGAGGAAAAUCAAUAGUCCUAUUUAAAUUAUUUAUUUUGAUAUGCCUGUUAGAUACUCAAAUAAACAUAAUGAGUAGGCUGUCUGGAAUUUAGGGGAGACAUGAGAGCUACACAUAUAAAUCUGAGAGUUAUCAAUAGCUGGGGUUUUUUUAUGGCUUUGGCCAUAUAAUUGGGUGAAAUAAUCUAGGAAAGAUGUAUGAACAGAGAGGAGAUUGUCCACUCCAAUAGCUCAACUUUGGUAAGAUGAGGAAGAUUCAAAAAAGGACACAGAAGAGAGGAUGCCAGCGAAGGGGAAAACAAGGUGAGUGUAGACUCUUAGAACCCAAGUAAUGAAGUCUUUUCAGGAAAAGAGAGUGAUCAGUUGUGUUAAAUGUGUUCAAGAGUCAAGGCAGAUAAGGACAUGAUUUUAGCUACUGCAUCCAGCUGCUAAGCAUAAUCCCAUAACUGACUUUAGAAGUAAAGGAUUCCAGUUCUUGGAGAAACUUAGAAAUUAACCCCUAAUUUACAUGUGAGAAAAAUCAAGGCCCAUAUUAAGUGAUUUGUUCAAGUAAUAGUGUUAAUUUGUUAUAACCAGAUCUCCUGACUCUGUGCUUUUUAAUGUAUCACUUUUCUACCUUCCAGAUACUCCAAAUAAUUAUCCUGAGUCAUCUAUGUCCAAGUCAAAAACGGUUUGGCUAUAUUCUGUCCACUCUGCUUAAGAAAGCUGAAAAUACAAGAUUUCCUCACAGGAAAAGUUGAGAGUUUUUUUUAAAAAAAGCUUUCUUGGUUCUCGCCUACAAAAUUUAUUUGAGCAAAGCAGCUUGUUCUCUGGCAACACCCAAUAAAUUACAAGUUAUCGUUUAAAGAAAAAAGUUGCAAAUUUGAUGAACAAUUUUAAAUAGUUCUGCUUUUUCUUCUCUGCUGCACUCUAUGUCCAAGGAAGUUACAACCACUAGCAAAGAAUCAGCUUCAAGAAUAUUAUGAGCGGAGUUCCUGUUGUGGCUCAGGGGAAACGAAUCUGACUAGCACCCAUGAGGACUUGGGUUCGAUCCCUGGCCUCUCUCAGUUGGGGUUAGGAUCUGGUGUUGCCAUAAGCUGUGGUGUAGUUCGCAGAUGCAGCUCAGAUCUGGUGUUGCUAUGGCUGUGGUAUAGGCCAGCAGCUCCGAUUUGACCCUUAGCCUGGGAACUUUCAUAUGUCAUGGGUGUGGCCCUAAAGAGACAAAAAAAAAAAAAUGUUAUGAGUAAGGCCAAGAAUAAUCUCCAAAAACUAGAGGGCUGGGGAAAAAGAAAUUUUUUCACAUAAUUUAAACGUUCAAAUCCAAAUCAAAUCUGGUAAAAUCAGGGUCUAUGAUUUCCUAUGAUUUUUGGCUAUGACUAUAUAACCAGUUUCCCAACUAUUAUCUUAAUAGCGUUAUAAGUCAUAUUAUAAGGCUGAUCAUUGAUUUACACUGCAGGUUAUUAAAGCAUGUUUAGAUAGUAUGGUUCAUUUUAUCCUGCCCCUUUUAGUUUCAAUAUUAUAUAAAUUCAGGAAGUUCCUGUUAUGGCUCAGCAGUAGAGAACCCGACAAGUAUCCAUGAGGAUGUGGGUUCUGUCCCUGGCCUUGCUCAGUGGGUUAAGGUUACAGUGUUGCCAUAAGCUGCUGGUGUAGUUCACAGACUUGGCGUGGAUCUGGCGUUGCUGUGACUGUGGUGUAGUCCAGCAACUGCAGCUCCAAUUCAUCUGGGAACUUCCAUAUGCCACAGGUGCAGUCAUAAAAAGCAAAACAAACAAACAAAGAAAAAACGUAAUAUAAAUUCACCAUUGCUUCCAACAUUAUUUUUCUUUCUGGGACUCUGGUUUACUUUUCUGAUUGUCCAGGUAGGCUGGAAUUGGCAAAAAUUUAAAUUGGUAUAAAAGUACUGAGGUCAUAAACUGGGAAGUCUCCACUUUACUUAAUGUACUUAGUCUGCAAUUCUGUUUGAAAAGGGUGGGUGCAUCCAAUCUGACAAAAAAGAUGUUCAGAUACUUCUGCUUUCCCAUGAACACUUUACAUUAGAGAAAUAUGUUGUCUUUUCCCAAAAAAAAAAAUCUUUUGUCAUAGAAGCCUCUCUACCUAAACUUAUAACUUCCUAUGCCAUUGCUCUUUGCAUCAGACAUAGUAAAUAUGUCUUGUUCACUCCAUUGGUCAUGAAGAAGAAGCCUGGUGAUCACACUGGCACAUUAGUGGUGGAAGAGCAAACACACUGCUUAUCAUAAGUUUAGUCACCACUAUGUACUGCUCACUGUAGCAAGUACUUUAUAUACAUGCAUCUCAUUUACCCUUUAUAAUCGGCCUUCAGGCAGUUCUUUUAUCUCCACUGCAGAAACAUGGAGACUGAGGCUUGGUGAGCUUCAGUGAUUUGCUCAAGAACACAGCUGACUGGGAGUUCCCUUGUGGCUCAGUGGGUUAAGGAUGUGGCAUUGUCACUGCAGCAGUUCAGGUUGCUGCUGUGGCACAGGUUCGAUCCCUGGCCUGGGAUCUUCCACAUGCUGGGAGCGUGUGCCCUUAAGUUCAUGAUAUUUCCUAGUUUAGCAUGCUUAUUCAUCAAUAUUGGGAAAGAAUAUUUCAAUGAAACGAAGAAAAAUUUUUGCAGGUGUGUAGAAUAUAUUCGCAUUUUGAAAUGGAGAUUGCUCGGUAUUUUCAAUUUUUUCAUUCUCCAUACUGAUCUUUUUGCACUAAUCUCAUCUUUCCUUGAAGUUACCCAUUUGCAUGGUCUGACUUUGCCUUUCUCCUGCCUUGAGUUAUACUAUCAGUUCCACUUGCCCAUAUCUACAGGGAUCUAAUUGGUUUUCUAUCUCAUGGGCCACCUGAUAGGGACAGCUUACAGUAUUCUGUAUGAACAAAGGGGCAAGAAACAUACAAAUGUUGCGUUCCAUGGCCUUUACAAGGGGAACAAUAGUCUUAAACCACUGAAGCCCAGACAGUCUGGUAGCAGCUGGUGAUAUUUAAAAGGAAAAGUCAGAAUUUGUACUUUUUGUGUAGAAGUUUCAAAAAACGGUCUCACUGAGACAACUCAGGCAUCUUGUGGGAACAUGACGAUGUUAUUACUGAUAUCAUUAGUGCUGGUCUGUGCCUUCCUGCUUAAUCCAAGGAUCAGCCAGCCAGCCUGGUAUCAGGCUGUCCCAACCCAGCUGCUCCCCUCCCUCUGUUCUUAGCCUUACCAAUAACUGCUACUUGGGAAAAUGAUUUUCCACCAAUCCCUCCCAGGAUGUAACAUUAAGGUUAUAAGGAGAGGGGCAGCUGGCUCGGUGGAGCCAUGAUGAAAGUCUAGGGGAAGCAAGAUAAAAACAAAUUGUUUUUAAGGAAGGAGAAAAUAUCUCAGCAAAGAGACUCUGGUAAAAACCAAUUUGCUCCACUGGUCAAUGUAGAGAUUGAAAGAAAUACUGCCACAAAUAUUUGCUAACUACUGCAUUUAAUUAGAGUAACCUUGGUGACAAAAACCACAAUCCACUAUUAAAGGCUUGUGUGUAAAAUCCUGGAAAGGAGAUCAGUAUUUUAUAAUAACAUGACCAGUUUUUUUUGUUUGUUUGGUUGGUUUUGUUUUUGUUUUUGUUUUUUUUGGUCUUUUUGUUUUUUUAGGACUGCACACGCAGCAUAUGGAGGUUCCCAGGCUAGGUAGGGGUCCAAUUGGAGCCGUUGUUGCCAGCCUAUGCCACAGCCACAGCAACUCAGGAUCCAAGCUUUGUCUGCAACCUACACCACAGCUCACAGCAACGCCAGAUCUUUAACCCACUGAGCAAGGCCAGGGAUCAAACCUGCAACCUCAUGGUUCCUAGUCAGAUUCGUUUCCACUGAGCCAUGACGGGAACUCCAACAUGACAAGCUUUUUAAAGAAGAAAUUAGGAAUAGGGGAAAAGGGUACUUGUCACCAUCCUUGCCAGGGUAUGUUUCCUCUACUUGCUUUGCUAAAAUGGUUUCUGUCUUUCAUUAGAAUUAGAAAUUUCACUUGAUUCAUUUGAUCUUUAGCUGCAUCUAUAUAUUUAUCCACUCAGAAAUAUUUAAUAUUUUGUUAUCCCUUAUAUAAAUAUUUAAUAAUAUUUUGUUAUCUCUUAUGUAUACUAGGUUCUGGGCUAAGGAAAUAAUUCUACACCAGUCAUUAUACACAAAUAAUUAUAAUGCAAGAUAAAAUGGGAUCAAGUGGCAUCAGAGAAAUAGGAACUACCCUCAAACCAAAGAAGGUAGAAAUAUACAUGGUACUCAGUGGAUGACAGACAGUUGCCAUGAGAGGCCUAAAGUGUAAUGGCUAAGGGCACAUACUGAGAACCAAGCAUCAACCUGGCUCCUCUGUUAAUUGGCUCAUCACCUGGGAUGGUUUUCUUGCCUUCUCAAAGAUAGAAUUUCCUCAUGCCUAAAAAGGAGACAAAAUGCUUCAGAGGUUGAUCAUGACGAGUAACUGAAAUCAUCUAAGUUAAGAGACUUGCACAGUGCCUGGUCCAGAGCAAGUGCAGAAGAAACUUGCUAGUAUUAUUGUGCUCAACGUAUCUGUUGGGAUCAUCAGGUUUAACCACUAAAGUGUGGCUUUGACUAAUACAGGCAAAUAAUCAAAUGAAAAGGAAUGGAUUGAUAAUUCAGGGGGAUAGCUUAGAGACUCAAGAAAAAGAGUUCUUGAAGGAACAGGAAUUCCAGGCUGAAUCAGGGAUCUACUAAUAGGAAUGAAGGAAGAGUGUUGGUAGGAGACACUGUCACUGUUUCUCAAUCCUGUUAUCACUUGGCUCAGAUUUACAUUCCGGGGAGAAAAUACAAGAUUGGCCUACCUUCUGGACACAGGAUUAGUCACAGCCACCUCUUGGAUAGGGAAAGGAGGGGUAAAGAGUCAGAGAAGUCUUCUUAGAAGCUGUGGUAUAUUUCAGGCAAGGGGAAGAGACAAGGGAAUAUUGAUAGUGAAAAGUCUAAGGCUAAGGAGGUAAAACUGAGCAGCAACAUCACUACUGGUAGGAGGGUGAAAUCUGCCUAAAAAUGUGGUCAGGGAGAGAGAAGACUCUGAUGAGGGAGGGCUGAAUUUUCCAGGGAGAUCUGCAAAGCCAACAAGAGUUCAGCAUUGGUGUGAUAGGAACUUAGAGGCCACUGAAGGGAUCUGAGGAAGAUUAAACACAGAUUACUGUAGGUUUCACAUACUGAAACCUACAGUAGUAGGUUGGGUAGUGUUGGGUAGAGUAAUUUGGAAAGGGGAGAAAAGAAAGCAGUUUAGCCUCCAGAAUUCUGCAUGAGAUGACGAAAUGCUAGACUAGGGUGGUGACAUCGCGAUAGGACCAAAAGGUUUAAGUAAGAAAGACGGUGCCUUUUUUCAGUGAAAAAGAAUUCUUCAAAAAUCAAUAGGAUAGCUGGAAUCAAAAUAUCAGACCGUAACCAGAGUUGGAAAGAAUGUAAAGAAAAUGGAACCCUCAUUAUGUGGCUGGGGGUCAUGAAAAAUAGUACAACUACUUUAGAGAACAGUCUGGUCCUUUCUCAAACGCUUAAUCUCAGUUACUAUAUGAUUGAGCAAUUCUACUCCUCAAUAUAUGCCUAAGUAAAAUUAAAACAUAUGUCCACAGAGACAGAUAUACACGAGUGUCUAGAAUGUCAUUAUUCCUGACAACCAAAGAAUGGAUACAAUUGAAAUGCCCAUCGACUUAAGAACGGAUAAUCAAAAUGUGGUAUAUCCAGCCAAUGGAACAUUAUCUGGCCAUAAAAAGGAAUGAGGUACUGUAUAUGCUACAACACAGAUGAAACUUGAAAACAUUAGCUUAAGUGAAAGAAACCAGUCACAAAAACCAUGCUGCAUAAUUUAUUUAUAUGAAAGCCCAGAGUAGGCAAAUCUUUAGAGACACAAAAUAGAGUAGUAGUUGCUUACGGCCAGGGUUUGGGACAGGAAUGGGGGAGUAAAGAGGUGACAGCUAAACAGAACAGACC